rnacentral:rRNA from 1 species
CCUACGGGGGGCAGCAGUGGGGGAUAUUGGACAAUGGGGGGAACACUGAUCCAGCGACGCCGCGUGAGUGAAGAAGUAUUUCGGUAUGUAAAGCUCUGUCAGCAGGGAAGAAAGAAAUGACGGUACCUGACCAAGAAGCCCCGGCUAACUACGUGCCAGCAGCCGCGGUAAUACGUAGGGGGCAAGCGUUAUCCGGAAUUACUGGGUGUAAAGGGGGCGUAGACGGUUAAGUAAGUCUGGAGUGAAAGGCCGGGGCCCAACCCCGGGACUGCUCUGGAAACUAUUGAACUUGAGUGCAGGAGAGGUAAGCGGAAUUCCUAGUGUAGCGGUGAAAUGCGUAGAUAUUAGGAGGAACACCAGUGGCGAAGGCGGCUUACUGGACUGUAACUGACGUUGAGGCUCGAAAGCGUGGGGAGCAAACAGGAUUAGAUACCCUAGUAGUC